rnacentral:lncRNA from 1 species
UGUUGGUAUUUGGUUGCCAGGAUGUCGGGUGAUGACUCGAAAAUACCGUCGGCUGAUCUGGUGUCUUGUGGAAGUCGGAUGUCGGCUGCCACCUCUGACAGUGAGUCGAUGAUAUGGGUUCGGCCGCUCAGCCGGUUGGAAAUAGUAUUGGCCUGUUUGGUCGGUAUACUUUUGACCGGAUAUUGUCGGCAGCCAUUGUCG